ACGACCUUACUUGAACAGGAUCUGUUCUAUAGGCUCGUACCGUUGCAUCCUUGACUAAUAAGGAGACAAGCACUCAAGCUUGGUUGAUGACGCAUGACCUUGUGGGCCAGAGCGUGAUUGACGGCCCGGAUCAUUUCCGUGUGAAUUGAUCCCACGGCUGUAGAGGAUCGUUCCUUGCCGGGCUUCGCUUGGUCAGGGUUGGCCCAUAGGUUGUCUGACAGGCC
rnacentral:snoRNA from 1 species